GGGGAAUAUUGGACAAUGGGCGCAAGCCUGAUCCAGCCAUACCGCGUGAGUGAAGAAGGCCCUCGGGUUGUAAAGCUCUUUUGUUGGGAAAGAAAUCCUGUUGGUUAAUACCUGGCAGGGAUGACGGUACCCAAAGAAUAAGCACCGGCUAACUUCGUGCCAGCAGCCGCGGUAAUACGAAGGGUGCAAGCGUUACUCGGAAUUACUGGGCGUAAAGCGUGCGUAGGUGGUUGUUUAAGUCUGUCGUGAAAGCCCUGGGCUCAACCUGGGAAUUGCGAUGGAUACUGGGCGACUAGAAUGUGGUAGAGGGUGGCGGAAUUCCCGGUGUAGCAGUGAAAUGCGUAGAGAUCGGGAGGAACAUCCGUGGCGAAGGCGGCCACCUGGACCAACAUUGACACUGAGGCACGAAAGCGUGGGGAGCAAAC
rnacentral:rRNA from 1 species